rnacentral:rRNA from 1 species
UCCAGACUCCUACGGGAGGCAGCAGUGGGGGAUAUUGCACAAUGGGGGAAACCCUGAUGCGGCGACGCCGCGUGUGGGAAGACGGUCCUCUGGAUUGUAAACCACUUUCCCCAGGGACGAAAAUGACGGUACCUGGGGAGGAAGCUCCGGCUAACUACGUGCCAGCAGCCGCGGUAAUACGUAGGGAGCGAGCGUUGUCCGGAAUUACUGGGUGUAAAGGGAGCGUAGGCGGGGAUGCAAGUUGGGUGUCAAAACUACCGGCUCAACUGGUAGUCGCACUCAAAACUGCAGCUCUUGAGUGAAGUAGAGGCAGGCGGAAUUCCUAGGGUAGCGGUGAAAUGCGUAGAUAUCAGGAGGAACACCAGUGGCGAAGGCGGCUUGCUGGACGAUGACUGACGUUGAGGCUCGAAAGCGUGGGGAGCAAACAGGAUUAGAUACCCCGGUAU